UGUGUGUGUGUGUGUGAGACUGCACGGAGAUGCAAGAAGAAGAAGAAGAAGAGGUCCUGCUGCAGUCAGGGAAAACAUCUGCUCUUCGUCAGGACCGAUGAGCCAGUGAGGCCGCAAGCGAGCUGGCACAGAUGGUGCUGAGGUCUCCGCACAAUAGGCCUUGCCAACCAUCGGCAUCAUCGGCAGCCACCCGUACACCCACAAGCGCCAGCACAUAAAGGGCGUUCGGCCACUUGGGAGUCGAAUGGCAGAUGAGGCGUUAGCUUAGCGUUAGCUACCUGCUACGACUCAAUACAGAUGGAUUUACUGGACCAAAGAGAGAAAAACACCCUGGAUUCUAUCACUGGAGAUGGUACGACGAGAGAUCCUGGAAGUUGAAAAGUAAGAGGGAGGCUUCUUCCCCCGAUUGGUCGAUUGCUGCGAGCGCUCUGAAGUCACUCCGCCUCCAACUCUUGUAUUGGACGCGCCGGCCAUAGCUCGAGGGCAACCCCUGCAGGCGUGAUGCUAAAGGAGCUGACAAGUCGUCAAAUGAUUCUCCAAAUUCCUCCUCGCUUCUGAUCUCCACCAGCCGAGGGAACACAUGGAAGAAGGGAGUUGGGCGAUUCAAGUACCAGGCUUCGACUGACACUUUGUUUCCAUGCUGAAAAGAGCUGGAAAACGUUGCUGUCUGGAGCUCACAAAGCGUUCCCUCGCCGCCAUGCCUCUGCCGCUGCGCCUCGGCUCACCCGGGCUGUCACCUGUCAAUCAAACCACAGCAGCGCCCAUGACCCUCCUUGUCCUUGGACUUGACGAGCAGGAUGGAAGUUUUCCAGCACAGUUGAUUUGUUUUCACCUGAAGCAGCAGCAGCACAAAUGCUUCCCCCUCACUCAUCUCUCUCUCUGUUGAUGUUAUGGAAAAAAAAAAGAAAAAAAGCUGGACUAAAAUAACACAAGGACGUGUGUGUGCCCACAUCUAGCACCGCUAAUUCCCCAGUAUUGGCGGUACUUCUGGGCCUUCGAGCAAGAGCCUCUUCUGGGCUCAUUGGUGGACGUUCAAGGAGGCUCUUCAGCCUUUGAAUGCUCCACACGGGUGCAGAGACAAAGACCGAGAGCUAUGUAGAGAUGCGCUUAGUGGAGACGGGGCUGUGUGAAUUCGUGGAAGCCUCGCCUCAUUUCUCAGCAUCCUUUUGUCAACGUAACAUUGUUUGUUAGCUGGAGGAAAUCACACUUCGGAUGUAACUCUUGUGAAAAACCUCAUUCAGAAGCCUCACCCCGGCUGAACGCUCCGAUUCGUAACCCAAACCGUGGUUUGAAACACCUUGACCUACAAGUUGAUUUUGUUCCAUGAAAACGACCGGCACUCAAUUUAUUCAUAUCAAAUAAAUGUUCCCAACUGAAUUUAAGUGAAAAGCCAUAAAUCUGUUCCACCACAUUAUUUUAUUUCACGACAUGUUUUAAAAUGGCACUGUUAUUGCGGUUUACUGUGCGUCGUACUUAACAGACCAUUACCAAACAGUAAGAUGAGAAGAGAAGCAUCUGUCUCCGCAGCUCAACAUUGCUUUACGGAGCCUUUUUCCCCCCCCCCCCACUCCUCCCCCCACAAGUCCCAAGAUAGCCCUUUUGCUGG